GGUUGCCGAGAUGAACAAUGGGAGGUUUGGGGUGUGUUGUGGGGGGUUGUCCGCACGGUCGGAUCCUGGUAUCUUUUUGUAUACACUCUGAACGGUCAGUGAAAACAUUGUCGCCGCCAUCAACCCUUCCUGGUUAUACAGACAAAAUACAAAGGGGAAAUUGCUGCUCUACGAAAUGCCGAAUAAGUCUUAGACCUCUGUUUGCGCUGCCCGAUAAUAACGAUUGCGGGCACACCGAAUCAAUCCAUACUAAGGACGACGACGUUAAUGAAGGAACACCAGCACAGCUAGAAUUAACAGGAUGGAGGCUGGUUACUGGAAAUUCAGGAAUAGUAUCCUCGUGCUUGGUUGGUCUUCUCACUGGCGUCGCUGUUGUGCUCUUCAAUAAUCUAGUCCACGAAAUUCGUGAUUUGUUCUGGGGUGGGAUUCCCGAUCAGGGGGCCUCAUGGUUGAGAGAACAACCUAUUCAGGCAACCUGGACUAGGGUAAUAUUAAUACCCGCUUUUGGGGGCAUGAAUGUGGCCAUGUUGAAUCUACUUCUUCAACGUCUUGCUUCCGCCGGGGAAGAUCCAUUGCUUGGCAAUUCUGCUUAUCUCAAGUCUGCUUCCCAACCUAUUCUAAAGGCUAUGGCAGCUUGUAUCACUUUAGGCACAGGGAAUUCCUUGGGUCCAGAGGGUCCCAGUGUUAAUAUUGGUACUUCCAUUGCCAAAGCUGUUGGGUUUUUCUUUGACAAGAGUUCUAGCAGAAUGCUGUCUCUUUUGGCCGCUGGAUCUGCUGCUGGACUCUCUUCUGGUUUCAAUGCUGCUGUUGCUGGUUGUUUUUUUGCUGUAGAAUCUGUGUUAUGGCCCUCACCCAUAGAUGUAUCUAUAUCACUUACAAAUACUACAUCGAUGGUAAUACUUAGUGCUGUCAUAGCUUCGGUGGUUUCUGAGGUUGGUCUUGGGUCUGAACCAGCCUUCAAAGUUCCAGAAUAUGACUUUCGUUCAAUUGGUGAGCUACCAUUGUAUCUAUUGCUGGGUAUCUUUUGUGGCUUGGUGUCACUAGCCCUUUCUUGGUGCACUUCAUAUAUGAUAGCAUUUGUUGACAAUCUUCACAACACCACUGGCAUGCCAAGAGCUUUAUUUCCCGUAUUGGGUGGUUUAUCUGUUGGGCUAAUAGCAUUGGUAUAUCCUGAAAUCCUUUAUUGGGGCUUCGAGAAUGUUGAUAUUUUGUUAGAAUCUCAGCCCUUUGUGAAGAGUGUUUCCAUUGACCUACUACUUCAGCUAAUAGCCAUUAAGAUUGUUGCAACUUCUCUGUGCCGGGCUUCUGGAUUAGUGGGCGGUUAUUAUGCCCCAUCUCUCUUUAUUGGUGCAGCUACUGGGAUGGCAUAUGGGAAGUUCAUUGGUUAUAUUGCUGCUGAGUUCAACCCUAAAAUUCAUCUAUCUGUUUUGGAGGUGGCUUCACCCCAAGCUUAUGGCCUGGUUGGAAUGGCUGCAACUCUCGCAGGAGUUUGUCAGGUGCCUCUGACUGCCGUGUUGCUGCUGUUUGAACUGACCCAAGACUAUCAGAUUGUUUUACCACUUCUUGGAGCUGUUGGCUUGUCUUCAUGGAUUUCGUCUGUUGAGACAAAGAAAGGGGAUGACCGGGGCACCGUAGAGCACAAAUUUAUAAACUCAGAUUUAAUUAUUCUUCCAGAAAAAUCUCCCCGUAGUUCAAUUGGAUCAUCUAUUAAUUGUGCCAUUGCCGAAAGUGUGCCUAAUACAAGUAACUCGUGUCAAGUUGAAAGUCUGCUUUGUGUAGAAGAUGAUAUUGUUGAAACCACGCAUUUAAGAAGAAAAACAUUAGUUUCACAAGCCAUGAAGACGAGAUAUGUGACAGCCUCAAUGGGCAUACGGCUUACAGAAGUAUUGAGUCUCAUGCUUGCAGAGAAACAGUCUUGUGCAGUGAUUGUUGGUACUGAUCAUACUCUAAUUGGCUUAUUGACACUUAGAGACAUCCGAGAGAACAGCAAAUUUGCAAAAACACGAAGCAAAAAACCCAAGGAGCUUUUAGUUUCAGAACUGUGCCUUUUGGGAGGUGGAAUAUGUAAUGUUCCAUGGACUGCUACUCCUGAUAUGGAUCUUCUUUCUGCUCAAAAGGCUAUGAAGAAACAUGGAGUCAAUCAAGUUCCAGUUGUUGAAAAGCUCUGUGAAAGGGCAUAUCCAGUUGGCGUAUUAGACAGUGACAGUAUCAGUUUGACUUGCAGUGCUUUGGCCACUAAAGAAUCCCUAGCGUAAUAUGCAACAGUGGAAGGACAUAAUCAUCAUCAGAGAGAUGCAGAAUCUGCGCUUCAAUAUGGUCCUCUCCCCAAUAGCUGUCAGCGGUGUAAAAUAUUAACCGCUAGAUUGAUCUGACACUUGGAUUUCUUGGUAUGAGUGGGUGAUUCACUUUUAUCUAGAUGGGUAUGGAGAAGACGAUCAAGCAUUCGUCUGAUUACAUUCCUCUCACGCUAACCAACUUCUUGAAACGAUUCGCUAUAGUGUAGAAAGAAUAGAUCAAGUGCUGCAUCUGCUAUUAUCAGUUUUAUUUUGUCAAAAAAGGAUAUAGAGAGAGUUUGAGCCAUUUCAGUUUUAUCUAAUCAUAAUGUACGCAUUCACGUUCAUUUAAUGAAAACAACUUGUUAUUUAUAGACUUUUUGUUGUUUCUGAUACAUAUUUUUUUGCAACUGAUAUAAAUGUUCUAAUGUAGAUGUUGUUUAUGAAAUUUAUGUUGUUAUUUAUGGAGUUUACGAUAUGCAAAAUUUGCAAUUAACUUGUGCAGAUAUUUAUGUGUAUCAUAUCAACAAACCUUGUAUUGUAAAUAUAUGGACAUUGUGUUGUUAGCAAAUGGAUACUUUCAUGUUAUAUAAAGACCUUUUGUUCUUCAUUAACUUGAAAAACUUUUUCAAAUGUUCGGUUUAAUCAUACAAAUCAUGUGAAAUAGAUGGACAUUGUGUUGUUAAUAAAUGAACCUUGUCCUGUUAUAUACAGACUUUUUAUUGUUCAUAAACUUGAAAAACUUUUUGUUAAGUCUAGCCAACUGAUAAACUGGACACACAUGGACUUUCAAUUUAGAAUAUAUGAAGAUUGUGUUGUGCAUAGUGGAUAUUGUGUUGUGCAUUAUUUGCUUACUUGCGCAUUUUUUUAAGCGUAGCCUACUGAUAAAGUAGAAUCUUAUGAACUUUUAGUUGAGAAUAAAUGAAUCUUAUAUUGUGCAUGGUAGAUAUUGUGUUAUGCAUUGUUUGCCUAUUUGUGCAUUUUGUUAAGCCUAACCUACUGAUAAAGUAGAGUCGUAUGAACUUUUAGUUGAGAAUAUAUGAACCUUAUGUUAUGCAUAGUGGAUAUUGUGUUGUGUAUUGUUUGCUUACUUGUGCAUUUUGCCAAGUCUAGCCUACUAAUAAAGUAGAAUCUUAUAGACUUUUAGUUGAGAAUAAAUGAACCUUAUAUUGUAUAUAGUGGAUAUUGUGUUAUGCAUUGUUUGCCUAUUUGUGCAUUUUGUUAAACUUAGCCUACUGAUAAAGUAGAAUUGUAUGGACUUUUAGUUGAAAAUAUAUGAACCUUAUUUUGUACAUAGUGGAUAUUUUAUUGUGCAUUGUUUGCUUACUUAUGCGUUUUGUCAAGCCUAGUCUACUAAUAAAGUAGAACCUUAUAGACUUUUAGUUGAGAAUAAAUGAACCUUAUAUUGUGUAUAGUGAAUAUUGUGUUUUGCAUUGUUUGUCUAUUUGUGUAUUUUGUUAAGCCUAGCCUACUGAUAAAGUAGAAUUGUAUGUACUUUUAGUUGAGAAUAUAUGAACCUUAUGUUGUGCAUAGUGGAUAUUGUGUUGUGCAUUAUUUACGUACUUGUACAUUUUGCCAAGCCUAACCUAUUGAUAAAGUAUAAUCUUAUGGACUUUUAGUUGAGAAUAAAUGAACUUUAUAUUGUGCAUAGUGAAUAUUGUAUCAUGCAUUAUUUGCCUAACUUCAAUAUUUUGUUAAGCCUAGCAUAAUGAUAAAUUGAAAUCACAUGGACUUUCAAGUGAAAAUAUAUCACAAACUUUUUUUUCUUACAAUUGUCUUU